UGGUGAGGUCUACAGAAGUGAGGAUACAGUCUGGGGUGUCAGUGGGGGCUCCAGGGGUGGGGGUGCAGGUCUGGGGUGUUGGUGGUGGGGGCUCCAGGCAGAUGUCUGCAAAGCUGUGUCCUGCUCCUGUCCAUGAGGAAGUGGAAGGCGUCGGUCAGCAGUCGGUCCCCACGGGCAGAGUUGCCUGCCACACUGGCACCCUGGGGAAGGGCGUGCUCCCAGGAGGCUCCUUGGAGACACACACAAUUGUUUACGGUUCCUCACACUGGCUGGGAGUGCCCUUGGUGGGACGUGGUCUGGGGCCUCCGUUCUCUGUUCCUCCCAAGGCAGGGGCCACGUCGGACGUGGCCUGCACCAAGCUCCCUUGGCACAGAGGGGGCUCCCCCCUCACCUCCUUCCUGGCCUCCCCUAGCAGCACGUAGGCACGCGGGGCGAGCUCUCCAUGCUCGGGUAGGUGGCACGGGCACUGCACCGAUGCCACGAUGCCCUGAAGGGAGGGGGCGCUCCAUUGGCGCCCCCAGAAUGAGCUCUGCGGGGCAGUGCUUUUCCGUGCCGCCAACCUGCAGGAGUUCCUGCCGUGGAGUUGGUGCAGACGCCCCGCUGACGCCCUGCACCAGCCCUGGACCGGGCUGUGCGAGGUGGGCCAGCCCUGUCCCGGCCUCAUCCCGGCCCUGGCCGCAGCAGAGACGAAGGCCCUCAUGGCCGCGGACCUCCCACAGCGAUGAUGCGGGGUGGGCAGGUGGGCGGCAGAGGCGGUCACAAGGUACCCUUGGGGAUUUCCGGAACUCAGGAGGAGCUGCAGGCCUUCCCACACUGGGCUGGGCCCUGGGGCGCAGCGCCUGACCUGUGGCUGGGGGUCAAGCAGGGAGGCGGCAGGCCUCUUCCGGGCACCGCUGCCUCCUGGCUUUGAUGCCCUUGGUGCAGUGGAGUCAGGAGCGGGGCGCGCAGAGGCCGGGCAGGGGAGGAGCCCGCCGUGGGCUGCAGGCAGGGAUGCGUCGUCCCCGGUCUGGGCUGGGUUGACUGAGGCCACU
rnacentral:lncRNA from 1 species